rnacentral:rRNA from 1 species
UACGUAGGUGACCAGCGUUGUCCGGAUUUACUGGGCGUAAAGAGCGCGCAGGCGGUCGUUCAAGUCGAGUGUGAAAGCCCCCGGCUCAACUGGGGAGGGUCACUCGAUACUGAUCGACUUGAAGGCAGGAGAGGGAAGCGGAAUUCCCGGUGUAGUGGUGAAAUGCGUAGAUAUCGUUUGGAACGCCAAUGGUGAAAACAGGUAGCUGGGGGUGUGCUGACACUGAGACACGAAAGCCAGGGGAGCGAACGGG